GCGCCCCGGGCGCCCGCUCUGCCCCGGGGAGGCAUACGCUUCCCUCUCCUUGGGGCCCGCCAGCCUGCUCUCCACCUCCGCCGAGCCCCCCCGCCACCCACAGACUGUUUUCCGUGUCCCCAGAAGGUGUACCCCAGCUUGGGCUCUUCACCUCUCUUCCACCUUAUUCUAGUUUCGGAUCCAUUUAAUAAGCUGCCCAUUUCCCCUGGUCUGCGGGCCCCCUUGGCCGGGAUCAGGUGCUUCACUGGGUCCCGGUGCCCUUCCAGGGCCCAUUUCACAGAUCCCACCCGCUCGUUCCCCAUCCCAUCCCCCCUCUGUGCCUUGACCCUGAGCACCGCGGCCUCUCGGCGCACCGAGGCCCCUGCGGGAGCGGGGGGACUGGGCUGGGAAGGAGAUUGGGCACCUGGUGGGUGACGGGAGCGUUACGGAAACUCCCUCUUUGUUGCCAGUGUAACAGGAGGAAGAGGUGCCGAAUUUAGUUUUUCUGUGGGCACUGGCUGGAUGUUGUCGCUGAGGGCUGAGAUGCAGAGAUUUCUCUCAGCUGCCACCCUGCCCCCAUCCAAAUUUCGCUAGCCGCCUUCUCUUUCCGAUCAGAGCCUUUAACCUGGGUGGAAAUGUUUGGACAACUGUGUAAGGAUCAGAUGUAAUAGAACUUGACUGCUGGCCACUAAUAACUGAGAGGACCUGUUUGUAAAUUAUCUAAUUUAGUGGAUUAGUGAGUGUAUUUACAAAUACGAUAAAAAGCAAUCAGGAAUACUGCAUCAAACUGUCUGGUGGUGGUGUAUGAAAAAUAGGCUCUGACAACGCCUGGGAUGUUUCUCCACAGUUUCAUUAGCGUAGAAUUUAACAGUAGUCUGUGAUUUGUUUGUUUGGUGGUGGUGAUGGGGAGAAGUAUGCGCUUGCUUCUAGAAAUAAAGGCUGGUUGGUUCUUGGCGAAGAAAAAAAAAUGCUAGUUUUUUGGGGAAAAAAAUUCCUCUAGAGAUGUAGCAUCUGUGACACAGAAGUGCUUGGUGCUAAGUGACUAUAUAUAACUCAGGUUUAAAUAACCUGCAUACUUGCUCUGAAAAAUCUGAGAUCUGUCACAGAAACAACUAGGAUUGGAGAUGAGUGGAGGACAUUUAUGGCUUUAUUGAGCAUUGAUCCUGUUUGUCCAGUUCUUAGGCUGGCUGGUUUAGUUAGUGAAACCUUAUUCAGUUAGGAUAGCAAAGGAAAACCAUGUGCCUGGUGUUAAGGAAGGCUGGAUCACGGCUUUCUAUUAGCAUAUAGAGGUGUAGAAAAACACAUACCUUUGGGGAUUUAGUUGGGGAUUUAGGCAGGGGGUGCAUCUAUCAGUUGGGCAUUGCUCAUCUAAUAGUUGUUUACAUAGAGUUUUCAUCAAAAAGUGUCUUUCACAUUCCCUUUCUUUUCAGAAUCGGGUUACUGUGCAUGCUCAUUUGGUGGUGAAAUGCCUUUAAGACAGCAAGACACUGUGACUUGGAGAUUCAGAACGUGGCUACAGCAAGAGAUGCCCAUUCACUGGUUAAAACAUCCUGCCAGCAUUUUCUGCAUCUGCCUUGUGUGCUUUUUCAGUGUUCACAUACAUAGUUGCUAAAUCUAAAGUUGCUGCGCACUUUCUUUGUUCUAGUCUGCAAGAAAAGGUCAACCUUGUAUCAAAGAAUUUGCAGGUUAAAUUUUGUACCACUUUGAUCCACCUGUAGGUGGGAACUGGGGAGGACCAUUGUGUGUGCUCAGGGUGUAUCCAGUGGGAAUGCUUGCAGACUUAACAGGGUCUGUCCAUACUUUUUGAUGUGUUAGCAUUGUUAUUUAAAAAUGCUACUGAUAAGGGAAGAGUAUUGUCUAUACACAUAUGUUUUGGUACUUGUACUGGCUGGUUCUGUGUGUCAACUUGACACAGGCUGGAGUUAUCACAGAGAAAGGAGCUUCAGUUGGGGAAGUGCAUCCAUGAGAUCCAGCUGUGGGGCAUUUUCUCAGUUGGUGGUCAAGGGGUGGAGGGCCCAUUGUGGGUGGUACCAUCCCUGGGCUGGUAGUCCUGGGUUCUAUAAGAGAGCAAGCUAAGCAAGCCAUGGGAAGAAGCAAGCUGGUAAGAAACAUCCCUCCAUGGCCUCUGCAUCAGCUCCUGCUUUCUGACCUGCUUGAGUCCAGUCCUUUAGUGAUGAACGGCAAUGUGGAAAUGUAAGCUGAAUAAACCUUUUCCUCCCCAACUUGCCUCUUGGUCAUGAUGUUUAUGCAGGAAUAGAAACCCUGACUAAGACACUACUGGCAAUUGGUCACCUCCCCCACUUCCCAUGCUCCCUACUCAUUAGAGUAUCAAGGAAGAAGGAAAUCUUAGGGUUUGUAGGUUUGGACUGCAUUUCAUAGACUGGAAGAGAUGCAAUACAUAAAGCAGCAUUACCCUCUUCUUAGUCUAUGGAUCCAAACUGCAACUCAGAAACAUGACGUUGUCAGGUCAGAGAACUACGUUGUGGGGUAGUUGGCACCCUUGCUGUUAAUUUUUGAUACCUUAAUUAUUCUCAACCUUGACUACACAUUAGGAUUCCUGCAGAAGUUUAAAACUGUCAAUGCCUGGGGCUCACCCCUGGGAAUUCUGGUCUAACUGGUUCAGUGGUGCUGCCUGGGCAUCAACAUUUUGAGGCGCUCCAGUGAUGAUGGAGAGAAUCACCUUUGUCCAGGCAGUUUCUUCCCCGGUGGUUUCUGUUACAACCUGUGAGGGUAGUCCCCAGACUGAAUCACCUCGUUGAAACAAGCCCCUUCUGACCUGUUACUCGAGACUGAUUGACACUGGGACAUUGUGGUGUAGAUACUCAGUUUGCAUGUUUAAUACUCAAGUUGGACUCCAGAUUUGUCUCAUCCCAUGACUCACUGAAUGACACCAGUAGUUGUGGGGAUAAGAAGCCUGAGUCACAAAGAGUCUGUCUCCUGUCCACCACGCCCAUUACCUUAACUUGCUGCCAGCUUCCUAGCUAAGUGCCAUCUCCAGCCAGUGCCUUGUGACCUUUCAGGCUUCCAUCUCCUCUUUCUCCUUAUUGAAGCCUUAAUGGUUUUUGAAAAGUCUGAACUGAUUCACUGUGUUCCUCUCCAACUUAAAAUCAUUUAGUGGUUCCGAUUACUCUGGGGACAAAGACUAGAUUCUCCUGGCAUCAACAAGACGGACUUAUGCCCUCUGUGCCUCCUUUCUCAGUGUCUCAGACUCGUGAAUCAUCAGGCGGUCGGUCCUAUGCCUUACUCUCACAGCUUUUCCAUCUAUGCUCACUUGUAGAGAAGGCUCCUUGCUUCUCCCACCUGAGACCUUUGACUGGUUUUCUUCAGUUGCAUCCUAAAAUACACUUUUUGGAAGACCUUCCUUCCUUCCUUCCUUUCUUCCUUCCUUCCUUCCUUCCUUCCUUCCUUCCUUCCUUCCUUCCUUCCUUCCUUCCUUUCUUUUUUUGGUUUUUCGAGACAGGGUUUCUCUGUGUAGCCCUGGCUGUCCUGGAGCUCACUCUGGCCUUGAACUCAGAAAUCCUCCUGCCUCUGCCUCCCAAGUGCUGGGAUUAAAGGAGGGCGCCACCACUCCCCAGCUUGGAAGACUUUUCUGAGCCUUCAUUACACACCAUGUCUUCUCAUUAAACUCCCCAUUGCCUUGGAUUUUCCCCUUUGAACGUGUAAUAGCAGUAAGCAUAUAAUUAUAGCCACUAUUGAUGUCUAGACCAUGAGUCUGCCUCCCAUAGCCUAUGGAUAGAGUCUGACCUGCUAACCUGUAUUUAUAUGGCUUGUAAGCAGAGAACAGCGUUUACAGUUUUGAUGAGGUGAUCAAGACAAAUAGGGCUGAGACAAAUAAAAAGAGAAGAAUAUUGCGUCAUGAGAAGCAUAUGAAAUUUGGAUGCUCCUGUUCCAAAGUAAGGUUUUGUUGUGACCCCGCUGUACUUCCUGUCUGCAGGUGCUUUGCUGUACAGUGACAGAGGACAGUAGUUCUCAGCUGCACACAGGACCAGUGUUGACUCUGGGUCCUUUGCAGGGGACAUUUCCCGACUCUUGCUCUGUCCUGGGCUGAUGAGAAGAUGAUCAUUUGUGCCCUGUGUGCUCCUGCUGGGCACUGCUUAGCUGACACUGCUGCACAGAAAUUCUUGGGAAGUUUGGGAACAAAUCCUUCUAGUGGGUGGGGAUAACUUACUUGGCCAGCUCUACUCUUUAAAAUUCAAUACAAACUUUUUUCUUAAGAACAAAUUCUUUAAAGAAAGUCCCAACAAACUUCAGCUGUUUCCUUAGACAGCCUGUGGUGAACCCCAUGGUUCAUGGCUGGCUUAAAACAUAAUUUCUUCCCUUUUGUUCCUUUUUUGUUUUCUUCUUUAGUUGAAGGAGAGGAUGUAGAGGUAUAAAUGUGAGUGGAAGCCAGUGGAUAGCCUCUGGUGUUCUUUGAGCUGUCUGCUUUUGUGCUGGAGGCGGUCUCUUGUUGGCCUGGCACUCACUCAAUGGGAAGGGCUGGGUGGUUAGCCAGUCCAUGGCACCCGCAUCUCUCCACAAUUGGCCUUUUCGCUUGGGCUUUAGGGGUUGAUCUCAGCUUCUCAUGCUGCCAAGGCAAGCACUUUACGGGAUGCUCCAUCUCCCCAUCCCAUCUUCUUUCUUCCUUCCUUCCUUUCUUUCUUUCAUUCUUUCUUAUUUAUUUAUUUAUUUAUUUAUUUAUUUAUUUAUUUAUUUGAGACAGGGUUUCUCUGUGUAGCCCUGGCUGUCCUAGAACUCACUUUGUAGACCAGGCUGGCCUCGGAAAUCCACCUACCUCUGCCUACCGAGUGCUGGGAUUAAAGGAGUGUGCCACCACGUCCCGCCCAUCUUCUUAUUUUUAAGGUUGCCAUAUACAUAAAGAAUAUUAAGCUCACAUUAUUCCUCUAUACAUUUGUAUAAUGGCAAGAAAGAAAAUAGCAUGAAGACAGAAAAAUUCCAAAGAGGUAAAACUGCUUCAAGAUGCUUAAGUAACAGAGAUGGGAUUACUUGCUUUAUUUAGUGGUACUGUGGUACAUGAGCAAGUUUCCUCAUUGUAAAUCGCUUAGGGUAAUGUAGCCAAGAGAAGUAAAUUACAAAUCACCCUUAAAUCCAAGUACUGGAAACAUUGAACAGAAUGUGUUCUUUCCUGUUUGUUCUCUCUCUCUCUGUGUCCUUGUCUGUCUCUCUUUGUCCCACUUGUUCAGGCUGAUUUCAGACUCCUGCUUUUCCCUCACCCUUCUGAGUCCUGAGAUUGCUGUAUGAACAGCUACACCCUGCUCUUUCUCCUGCAGUCUUGAAAUCUGAUCUGGGUCUUUCCAGAUGGACUUUCCUUCCUCUUUCUCUUUCUCUUUUUCUUUUUCUUUCUCUUUUUCUUUUUCUUUCCUUUUCUUUUUUUUCUUUCUUUCGUUCUUUCUUUCUUUCUUUUUUUCUUGUUUUUUUUCGAGACAGGGUUUCUCUGUAUAACCCUGGCUGUUCUGGAACUCACUGUGUAGACCAGGCUGACCUCGAACUCAGAAAUCUGCCUGCCUCUGCCUCCCAAGUGCUGGGAUUAAAGGUGUGCACCACUGCCUGUCCAGAUGGACUUUUCUAACAAUCUCUACUGGCUUUUCUUGGGUGAGAAUUAGGGAAGGUUAUAGUUCUCAUCCCUGUAUAGUAUCGAGCAGGGUGAAAACAAAGACCCAGUGGUUGGUCCAGUCUGCAGCCCACAUGCCCCAAGAUAACUAUGAGUGGAGCACAACACAAAAUCAUAAACUUACAGAAACAUGAAAUUUUUUUAAUGUGUGUUUGAUAAUUGUGCAGUGUGAACUUUGUAAAUGGCAACAUGUUGCAAUGUCAGAAGGUUGGACAUACCUGGUGGACUAACCAGAAUUUGCCUUUAAGUCAGGUAGGGGCAAAGUCACACACACAGUAGGACAGACAGCUGCAAGUGGGAGGGCCCAGUGGUGGAGGCACGGCUGGGUAAGGAACAGGAGCCAUAGUGGGGUGAGGGCUAGUAGCUCUGCUGGUUUUUUUCUGUCUGUGAAAACACUAACAUAGUGUUUCCUGAAACUUCUGUGUCAUUCCAUUAGAAACCUUUUGCAGUCCUCAGUUCUGAGUCACACACAAAGUGCCCCUCACCUUCAGCAGCCAGGGCUGUAGCCGCUGCUGAAGCCCGUUUCUCCCUCACCGUGCCUGCUGCCCGUCUCUGGCUGACAGGAGGGUAGCUUCAGUAACGAAGGUUCGAGUAUGGUUACAUAGUUAAUUACGGCUCCUCAGAGAGUCUCAGAGGCCCUGACUGUUGGAAGAGCCCUUUCCUUUCCAGCCCUCUCACUCUUCCAUUUCUACUCCUCAGAUUUCUUACAUUUGCUGGCGCCCUUUAGCUCUGUCUGAUUGGGAGUCUUUUUUUUGUUUGUUUGUUUUUUGAGACAGGGUUUCUCUGUAUAGCCCUGGCUGUCCUGGAACUCACUUUGUAGACCAGGCUGGCCUCGAACUCAGAAAUCCGCCUGCCUCUGCCUCCCGAGUGCUGGGAUUAAAGGCAUGUGCCACCACGCCUGGCUGGGAGUCUUUUUUUUUUAACACUCCUAAAACUUUUAAUUUUCCUUCUGUUUCUUCCUACUUCUCCGUGAUAAACUUUAGAGCUGUGGUUUUGAGCAGAAAGUAAUAUUAGAGCCAGAUAGUAGAGUGCCUGUUAGUUUUUUAUUUACCUGCUUAAUUUCAGGUUCGUUUUUUUUUUUUUUUUCCUUAUAAGACCAGUGAGAAUGAAGAGUCAUAUUAUUUAGAAUAUCCCUACUAUAGAAAGUGGUCUUUCUGCACGACAAAUAAAGCUCUGUAAUAAGUAGCAUUUUGGAAAUGGAAGUAAGCAGCUAAUGUGUAAAAAUGUUCAAUUUCGUUAUUACUCAGGCUGAAGGAGGGGCACCCCUUUAUGCCAGUGACCUUGAUAUGAGUUAACAGAAUACUAUUAAUUGCCUCUGUGGUUUUGACUCAAAUAGACUUUAUUGAUUUGCUGAAUAAAUUGGAGUAACCCCCUUGGGGUACUGCUUGACAACCUGCACUAAACGCCGUUUCAGAAAGUCGUUGAACCCCCCUAGUAAUCCAGAGUGGUCAUGUGGUGUGCAGGGUUGCUACAGCGCUGGCAUCAGUUGCUUAUUUCUUUAUUGUGGGUGAGUGUAGGCACGUGGAGGUCAGAGACAAGCUGUGGCAGUCAGUCCUCCAUACCAUGGUGGGCUCCUCAGAUUGAAGUCAGGGUGUCAGGCUUGGUGGCAGGUGCCUUCAUCUGCUGAGCUAUCAUGUGGGUCCUGUUGUGUUAUUUAUAACAGCCAAGGAGUUCAGGUUUAACUAUUAUAUUUCUGAUAACAAACUUUUCUUCCUUUUUAAAAUAUAAAAUCCAUUUGCUAUUUGGUAUAUCGGACUUGGCCACUGCCCGCUAAAUCCUCCCUUAGUGGGUAAGUGGCGGCUGGCCUGCUUCCAAGGUUUUCAUCCCUCCUCUGAGAGGCUGUGGGGACCAGGGGAUUGAGCACCAUUAAGUACCGGAAGGAGCGUGGGAGCUGCCAGCCGACAGGCUUGGGUUUCAGUCCCAAGACCAGGUCACUCAUUUGGGCCGACUUCUUAGGUCAUUGGUACCUUGGUUUCACCAGGAGUAAAUGGAAACAACUUCUUGGGCUUAUAUCAAACUAUACAAAUGAUUAAAAAAAAAAUAACAACAAAAAAACAAUUCAGGAGUUUCCAUAGUAAUGUAAACUGAAAAGCCUCCAGUCACCCAUGCUCCCAUUAAAAAGGCAGGCUCUGGUUUGAGACUUUCGAAUAUGAACAAUGGAUCCAAUAAUAUUCCAAUAAUACCGGGGAUGAGUGCUAAGAGUAAAAUAGGUAAUAGUACUAGGUAGGUUGGUACUUCGCAGGUGAACAGUUGGCUUCCUGAACAUGACUUUUCACCUGGCCUGGAUUGAGGCAGAAUGAGAUGUAGAGAAGGGAGAAGGAAGAAAGAUCAGUAGUGGAGAGGAUGUGUGGGCCAGCGCUGAGAGAGCCGUGACUUACUGCAUGUCAGUAUGGUCAGAGAUGACCAGGGAGGGGGCUCGUGUGUGAAUGGAUGGGAAAUGGGCAGCCACAAGGUAUUCACAAAGACCUGCCAACUGUGUAUUUGAGCUUAUGGGGGAGAGAUGCAAGGCAGAGGCUGCAGAGGAAACCGAAGAGACCUUGUGGAGUUGGAGAAAAAAUUUCCUGCCUGAAUGUGGACUUGAAGGGUAAUGCAGAGGGAUAGGACAUGUUUCGAUCGGCAUUCAGAACUCCUGUGCACUGGCAUGAGGCAGUUGUGAUUGAUAGCUUGGGAACUGAUGGGGCUGGUAAGUGGGGAGAGGAAGGACAAUUGAAUUUUGUUUGGGUUCAGUAGAAGUGAUGCUGUUCUUGGUGCCUCCGGCUAGUGCAUCUAGUUAACUGAUGGUUUUGCAACGAGCUUUACUUCAUGAGCAGGGAGGAGCUUCAAGUAUGGGUGAUUGCCAGGGGGCAGGGGAAGGCACUCUUAGUGCAGUCAGUGACUUGGAGAGGAAAGGUUUGUGUUGGGAGACAGAGAUCAUGCUGGGGGAAGGCACAGAGUCUGGGGCAACUCCCUUUUGCCACAAACAAUGCAAUAGCUUGGUUAUACAGUGAUGGGUCCAGAAGCAGAGAUUGAAAUCUGGAAGCAAGGCGCUCUAUAGCCAUCAACGAUCCACCCUUAGUGACUCACCCUCAAUAACCAGUCUGCCAAGCAGGCUCCACAGCCUUUCAGAAUAGCACCACCCUGUGGGGACCAGGUAUUCAGAUGAUUAGAGGGCCCGGGUUACACAUUUCCUAUUCUCAGACCUAAGGUGGGUACCUGAGUUAGCUGCAAUUUAUAGAUGGAACAGGCUCAAGAAAUGUUGGGUAGCUAUCCCAGUACCACCCAGUAGUAUAAAACCAAGUCAGUUCUGAGGGCAUUUCCUGUUCCUUUAUCUUCCCCUUACUUUUUAUCAAGAAUUGCUAUGUUAGGCGGUGGGAUGGCUGGACCUUAGAUACAUCAUUCUUGUUAAGUGAGUUCAGAGAUUAAGUGAAAAUGUGGGGAGAGGGCACUGAGAGCAGGUAAAGGGACCCUGGGAACAAUGUCCUGACACACAUGGUGUGAGGAGAGAAGGAACACCUGUAGAUUGUCUUCUGGGCUCCAGUCAGGUGCUGGGCACCCCCCCAUACAUUUAAAUUAUGUUACAUAUUAACUUUUUAAAAGCAUAUGUUGGGUAAUGUAUAAAAACUUGGAGCAGUGUCAGUGUGAGUGCUUUUUAUGAAGCUUGAGAGCCAGUGACUGCAUUGCCCCCUGGCCUGCCUGUGUUUCCCUCUGAGAACUUAGGUCUAAGAAAGUUUAUCAUGGAAGUAGGUUUGUUAAUAUGACUGUGAUUUUAUCUUUCCCCCAGAACUCACUGGUUCUUUCUAUCCUCUGUGUGUGUGUGUGUGUGUGUGUGUGUGUUAUACCUUAUUGGUUUGUUUGUGUUUUGAGACAGUUGACAGUGAUCAAUACGAUUUUGUUAGGAAGUUUUGGAAACGAUAGCUUAAGAAGGCACUUCAUUUUAAAAGUGAGUGGGAUUCCAGUUUGGUGGGACUUUAAACCUUUGUAAAAUACAGUUUAAUUUGAGCGAGUAAAACAGGGACAAGUGGAGACAAUUGUUUCUCUUGUGUUGCUAAGCGGCAACAGAGCCUUCUCGGUGCUGCUACUUUGUGUUAGCUCUUGCCGGGUAGGGUUGCUCAUAGUCUGUCUGUCUCACUUAAAGAUACAAAUUACUUCUGCGAGAGUACCCUGAUCACUGCCUAAAGCCUGCGCUCCUGAAGCCUGGGGGCUUUGGGAGGCUUGUGCAGUGCUCCUCUGCAGAGGCAUUUGCCAACAGAAAAGGUGAGAACUCAGUACCACCUCUGCCUUCCUUCUCUUUGCCCACCUUGAGGAGUCAGAGUACUUGCAAACAUGCUGAAAGGUCAUUCCCACCCCCUCACCUCCCCCCCCCCCCCCUCUCCCCCAUGUCCAGGAGGGAAUUUGCUUCCCUGGCCUGCACUGGUCUUAUCUAUCUUGUAAAUACCUUUCUAUUUACAUCAUCCAUCCUGAAUCUUCUCCUUAAGGAUUUAUGUCCUGCAGAGUUCACUUUGAAAAGCCUGGUUGAGAUGUUGCUUUUCAAUUCCUUGAUCCUGAGUGACAACAAAGAUGGGUGUGGUAAAGCAAUGAGGAAAUUGUUGGAGGGGCUGGAGUGAUGGCUCAGUGGUUAAGGGCACUGGUUAGUCUUAUGGAGAAUGCACAUGGAAUGCAGCUGAUACCAUCUGUAUGUAACUCCAGCUCCUGGAGAUCCAAUGACCUUUCCUCCAAGGGCACUGUACGUAUACAUAUGGUACACAGGCAUACACGCAAGCAAAACACAUGUAUACAUAAAAUCGUAAAAAAAAAAAAUCUUUAAAAGAAGAAAUUUGUUUGUUGGGUCAGGUAACAGCUUCCCUCCCCUAAUACAGGGAUUUUUAAAGUCUGAGCACAUUAAACGUGCCACCACUUAAGUUCUUCUCUCCUUUUCCUCUCCAUUCCUCUUUCCUGUUAGUUUUCUUAUUUUGUUCUGCUGUUUUUUUUGAGACAGGGUUCUCUUUGUAUAUCCUUGGCCAUCCUGGGCUCUGUAGACUAGACUGGCUUUGAACUCAGAGAUCCAUCUGCCUCUGCCUCCCAAGUGCUGGGAUUAAAGGCCUGUGCCACCAUGUCAGACAAAAACUUUUUUUUUUCUGUUUUUAAAUUUUAUUAUUUUAAUUUUAUAUGUAUAGAUAUUUAGCCAUGCAGUAUGUCCGUGUGCCACAUGCAUGCUUGCUAACCAGUGAACACAGAAAAAGGUGCUUGAUCCCCUGGGACUGGAGUUACAAAUGAUAUGUGGUUGCUGGGAAUUGAGCCCAGGUCCUCUGGAAGAGCAGUCAGUGCUCUUAACCACUGAGCCAUCUCUCCAGCCCUCAGUUUUCACUUUUAAACGUGUGAGGGCAGAGAACCACCUUCAGGAGUUGUCGGGCUUCCAUGGUGAGUGUUCUUAACCACGUGAACUCUCGCCAGCCCUCUCUUCCUCACUCUGGCCUUGAGUUCACAGUGCUUCUGUGUGUUGGGGUGAAGGCAUGACCCUACCUUCAUUGUUUCUUACUUGGGUGAUUUGGGGUUUCCAGCUUGAGUUCAGUGUACUUCAUUGACCAAAAUAUCUUUGAAGGAAGAAUUAAAGCGGGGCGAGGGGGGUAUGGUUGAGAGCUCAUGGUUUUAGAGCAGUGGUUAUGAACCCAUGGGCCUUGACCUCUUGGGGAGUCACAUAUCAUAUGCUACAUGUCAGAUAUUUACAUUAUGAUCCAUAACUAGGAAAAUUACAGUUACGAAGUAGCAGUGGAAUCAUUUUUAUUUGUUUUGGUGUUUUGAGACAGGGUUUCUCUGUGUAGCCCUGUCUGUUCUGGAGCUCACACUGUAGACCAGGCUGGCCUCGAGUUCAGCAUCUAAAGGUGUGCACCACCAGGUCUACCUUCUAUGAAAUAAUUUUAUGAUUGUGGUCAUGAGGAACUGUAUAAAGGGUCACAGCAUUAGGAAGGUUGAGAACCACUGUUUUAGAGGGCCAGUCCCCAUGGCUGCUAGAGCUUUGUUGCUGGCCCUGAUUCUGUUGACGCCAUUAGCCAGAUACAGUGGGAAGCAGCCGUCAGCCUACAAGUGGGCCAGAGUUGUAUGUGUGUAUGUAUGUAUGUGUUUGGAAAUGAAAACAUCCAUAGACUAUCUCAGUACACGUAACCAUUCCUGAAUGCCGUUAAAGGGGAUACAGUGGAGGGAGGCGGGACCUUUUGUCCCUGAGCUGAAUCUCUUUCUUAUCAUAGACAGUCAACAUCGUUCUGGUGUGUGUAUGCAGGAGGGACCAGGUUGGAGAGGAAGGGGUGCGGGAUACCUUGCCUCAAAAAAAAAAAAAAAUUUAAAUUUAAAAAAGAGAAAAGGGAAAAUUUGUUAUUGUUAACUACUCUGGUUGCCUUUGCUGCUUUUAUCCAUUUGACCGAAUCACAGAUCUCUGUCUUGUCACUACCAAGAGCUCAACUGCUCAUGUCAUGGUCCCUAAGUCUCUUGCUUACUGGGUACAGUACCUGCUUAAUGAUCCCUAGCCAUGGAACCACAGAAUCCAGGAGUCCAGUGUUUCAUAUCACUUUUUACACUGGAUACCACCUUUCUACCUUCCUGCCACCUCCCACUCAGACAAUGUCUUCACUCUCCUGCCUGUGUUUAUACCUUGCCUGCUUCCAGGUAUAUAUUAGGUGAUUUGUAACCAAAUAUAAAUAUUUUUAGGACUUAGGUGAAUAAUCAAGAGGUGAGUGUUGGUAGACGUGGUGUAGAUGGAAGCAGAGAUGUACCGGGUGCCCAAGCUUCACCUAGCAACAGUGUCUGGGCAUGGCGCUUAUUCAGAGAAAGUCAUCACAUAGAAGUUUUCUACAGGAAUCAAACACUGGCUGGUGCUAACAGAGUUAGCAGUGAGGUAGCCAUGACUUUUAUAUCAUGUCUCCUAAAUGAGUUUGGUUCAGGCUCUGCAUAAAUUCUUGUAGCCAGUGAGAAGUGACUGCUUCUUGAUGGAGCAGCCAGCUCCUUUUCCAGUUAUUAGAAACCCUUGUCACAUGGCUGAGCGUAUGUCCUUGUAACUUUAUUGUUGGCCCUGAUUUUUGCCACACAGAAUGACAAACUGAAACCAGCCUUGAAUGUUUGCCAAGUUUUAUGUGUAUGUCUCUUUGUAUUUUAAAUGUAAAAACCUGUCAUAUAAAAAAAGUCAUGUUUCUACAGUUUUUGUGGUUCUAGACGACUCCUUUUUCUUUAUGAUCUGUUUAAAAAAUUGCAUAGCAAUGUUAAUAUGUAUAUUAUCUGUAUUUGAAAAGACUAUAUAUGUACACAUUUUAAAGCACUAAACAUUUUUAGUGUUUGUCAUUUAUUUUUAAGUAUUUUAAGUACAGUAGAGCAUCCUGAAGCUGGAGUUACCUGACAUGGGUUGUGAAGAGGUGAGUCACCUGACAUGGGUGCUGGAACAGCCAUCUAAGUGCUUGCCAUUUAAAACAAGAAAAGUGGCCUCUCUUUUCCAUCUUCUGCUCUCCCGAGGCCACCACUCUGAGUCCUUUGGGUCAGUUCUUUCUCUGUCUCUAGCAUGCAUGUGCGAUGGAUGGCCCCUUACUUCUUCAGUUCCCAGCACCAGUUCCCCCUCUGGGAGAUGAAGACUGAGCCCUUCCAACCCUAUCCACUGUGCACACCCUUCCUGUGGGCACCCAUGCUCUGCUACGGGAUGUUAUAACUUUGGUUACCAUUCAGUCCUUAUAUCAUGACUAAGUAAAUGCUCUCAGCUGAAUCAUGGCGUUUUGAUGUUGUUCUUGGGGAUAAACGUUAUCUUGUUUUGCUCUUUGCUUGGGUUUUUUUUUUUUUUUUUUUUUUUUUUUGCCCAAAUGACUAAUUGGUUUCUCAGUGUUCACCUAGUAGAUUAACUCCGAAUUAUCUAAGCUCCGAUUUUAAGGCUCUUUCCGCUUGAGUUUUUUUUUAUAUUUUCCUUAUUAGAGUGAUAUACUGAAAAUACUGAAGUCACCCCGUAUUGUUUCUGGACCUGUCUGUCUCUUUAUGUACAACAAUGUUAUCGUUUGGUGUAUAUAUGCAUUUACUGUGUAAUCUAGGUUGACCUUGAACUAACUAUACCACCCAGCCUUCCGAACAGUUAGGAGAAGCAUGCAUCACCAUGUCUUUGUGGGCUGGUCCCUCUGUUACUAUGUGGCCUUCAUCUCUUCUGACUAAGUUUGGAUUGAACUGCUGGGUAGGAAGAUAAUUACUACAUGUGUUUUGAGACACCUUUUAGGUCCUCUUCCCCCCCUACCCCCGAGAGCAUGUGUGUGUGUCUGUGUCUGUGUGUAUGUGUGUGUGUCUGUGUCUGUGUCUGUGUCUGUGUGUGUGUGUGUCUGUGUGUGUGUGUGUCUGUGUGUGUGUGUCUGUGUGUGUGUCUGUGUCUGUGUGUGUGUGUGUGUCUGUGUCUGUGUGUGUGUGUAUGUCUGUGUGUGUGUCUGUGUGUAUGUGUGUAUGUCUGUGUUUGUAUAUGUCUGUCUCUGUGUGUGUGUGUGUGUGUGUGUCUGUGUCUGUGUGUGUGUCUGUGUGUGUGUGUGUCUGUGUCUGUGUGUGUGUCUGUGUGUGUGUGUCUGUGUCUGUGUGUGUGUGUGUGUGUGUGUGUGUGUAUGUCUGUGUCUGUGUCUCUGUGUGUGUGUAUGUUUGCCGGUAAGGUGAAUUUCUCACAAAGAAUAGUCAGAUUAUGUUUUUAAAUUCAUUCAGCUUGAAUAUAUCUUAAUUGGAGAGUUAUGACUGUAUUUAGAGGUAUUAUUGAAGAAUAUAUAAUAAUUUAUCCCUUUUUAAUCUUAAAGAUCUGUUGAUUUACUGAUUUGAUAGUAUUGGAUUCUUUCUUAUUUGUUUACCUAUUCUUUUAUUCAGAUUUAUUCUUUUUCUCUAAGAAAAAAGUGCAAGUUAUUAAAUAAUUUUUUGACACAGGUUUCUCUCUUUUUUAAAUAACAUGCUCAUGUAUGUGUGUGUAUAUGUGUGUUUAUGUGCACCAUGUUCAUGCAGUUGCCUUCAGAGUUUCUGGCGCUGGAAUUAUGGGUGAGAACUGAGCCCAGGUCCCCUGCAAGAAUAAGUAUUCAUAAUUGUUGAACACCUCCUGUUUUGUUCUUAUGUGUUGCUAAUAUUUGAGUAAAAUUCUAAAUUGGAAGUUUUUUUUUUGGAAUAUAUGUAUGGAUAUAGUGGUUUGGGGCACUCAAACCUAGGGGCUUAACACGUGCAAAACAAGAACUAUACCACUGAUCAUCAUUCCAGUUUUUCUCUCAAUAUUUUAUGUAUUGUUUCAUUUUUAGAGGUUAAAGAGCCAAGAUUACUAAGUAAACAGAUGAGCUGGAAUUAUAGUGCCAAUUUCUGUUAUUCCAUUAUUUUUUAAGUGCCAUGAGUUCCACUUUAGAUUGAUGAAUGGCUUACUGGGUAAUUGGGGGCGGGGGACAUCAAAUGGGUCUUCCCCAUCUGUGCAGAGAACAGGUUCAGAGCUCUGGGAUUCCUUGUAGUCCACACCUGUACGUAGGUUACAAAAGUCAGUGGUCCCACAACCUACUAGAGCAGAGUGACUCAAGAUGGUUUUACCUUCUUAUAUUUAUUUUCAUCAGUGACACUGUCAAAGGGCCUCUUCUGUAUUUCCUUUGAGGUUCUGGAAACUGAGCCCUUGGCUUCAGAUAUGCACAGCAUAAACUCUACCACGGAACUAUGUACCCAGAUCAACAGUGACAUUGCCCUUCUCAAAGGGGAUUUCCUGUUUGUCAUAAACUAUUACUGUUGGCUGAUUGUGCUUAACGUAUGAGUUCAUUUUGCUAGAGUAAGAGUUACUGAGAUACAUUUCUAGGAUGUAGUGGAUGAAUUAAUGGAGGUUGGACAUUACUGCUUAGUUUUUAAUACAGUUGAUGCAGACUGUGGAGAUGAGCGGGUUUUGUUUUGCUCUUACUCAUGCGUGUGAGCUGUGCUUUUCCGUUCUUGGUUUCCCAAUUCUGAUUGAAUAGGUACCUCUGGUUUGGACAAAGAAUCUAUAUGUCAACUACAUUGCUGGGCUCAUGUGCCAUUUCACGGUAGAUGAUAUGUGUAAAAUUGUGUCUGAGUGAUACAUUCAUUGAAUCAGGGAUCUCCAAGCUUGGAGUCCAUCGUAAGUAAAUGCCUGGCUCUUCACCUGCAGUCACAGAGCUUGGUAGUCACACCAUCGUAUGUGUCCCUAUAGUCUGUCUGCUCACCACUUUGGGUGUUGUUCUGCGAUUACUGAUUCUGUUUUGUUUUGUUUUCUUCAGGAUCAUGUGACUAUUUUUGUUGUUCUGAGAAAUAAUAAUACUAAGGUGUUUUUCUGGUUUUGAAAGCUCCCUAGGGACCAGACAGUAUUUUUUAAGUUGUGUGAAACCCUAGGUCCUUGGUUUUUAUCUGUGUCAACAUAGCCACACGACAAUGGUUAAUUCCCAAAGUUACUACUUCUGUCUGUAUCUAGCUGUGUGGGAUGGUGCUGACAACCAUGCUGGAGUGG